CAGUCGCCACGGGAAUAUAGAGGAUUUAAGCGUUAUACGGAAUGAUUGGGCGUAAAGCGUCUGUAGGUGGCCUUUCAAGUCCGUCGUCAAAUCCCAGGGCUCAACCCUGGACAGGCGGUGGAAACUACCAAGAUGGAGUACGGUAAGGACAGAGGGAAUUUCCGGUGGAGCGGUGAAAUGCGUUGAGAUCGGAAAGAACACCAACGGUGAAAGCACUCUGCUGGGCCGACACUGACACUGAGAGACGAAAGUUAGGGGAGAAAAUGGGAUUAGAUACCCCGGUAGUCCCUGUCUCUUAUAC
rnacentral:rRNA from 1 species